UGGGGAAUAUUGGACAAUGGGCGCAAGCCUGAUCCAGCCAUGCCGCGUGUGUGAAGAAGGCCUUCGGGUUGUAAAGCACUUUUGUUGGGGAAGAAAAGACACCGGUUAAUACCCGGGGUUUCUGACGGUACCCAAAGAAUAAGCACCGGCUAACUUCGUGCCAGCAGCCGCGGUAAUACGAAGGGUGCAAGCGUUACUCGGAAUUACUGGGCGUAAAGCGUGCGUAGGUGGUGAGUUAAGUCUGUCGUGAAAGCCCCGGGCUCAACCUGGGAAUGGCGAUGGAUACUGGCUCGCUAGAGUGCGGUAGAGGAGAGUGGAAUUCCCGGUGUAGCAGUGAAAUGCGUAGAGAUCGGGAGGAACAUCAGUUGCGAAGGCGGCUCUCUGGACCAGCACUGACACUGAGGCACGAAAGCGUGGGGAGCAAACAGG
rnacentral:rRNA from 1 species